CAACCCAUAAACUUAGUAUCAUCAUGAAUAAAACAUAAAUUUCAAUUGCAUGUUUCAAUUCAAUUUUGUGAGAUAGCCUACAAAAUAUUUGACCACUACUCCUCAAAACUGUCAAGGUUGUCAAGGGAAGUCUGGGAAACCACCAUAUCUGAGAAAGGCCAGAGGAGACAAAACAACUAAAUGUCACGUGAUGUCCUGGAUAGGACCCUGGAGUGGCAAAGAAGCACAGGUGGAACCAAAUGAUCAUUUUCAGGCUUUUAACCCAUCAUCUGUUUUUCCAGCCCAAGCCAUCAGCCAAAUCAGGUUUUAACUUCAUUGAGACUUACGGCUUCUUGCCAAUAUUUUUGCCAAAACCCUGUAAUCAGUCUCAUUUAUUUUUAUCUUGCUAUACCAACUUACAGCUCCCAAAACAAACUGUUCUCUUCUUGGUCUUGGAACUGGUCUUCUAAAAACAGCACGGAGUCACCUGAGUCCUCCUAGAUAAGUAGAUGACUUUCCCAUUGUGAUUCAUCAAAUUCCCCAUCAGGCUGCAACCAUCUCCUCUCUCCACCCCACUGGCUGAAUGACUGGAAACCACCAGAAUCUCUCAGACCCCAUGGCUCAUAAAUCCUGAGCCUGGCAUCUCUCCUCUCUGUCAUGAAGGACUUCACUCCCCCUCACACUUAGCAGAUUCCUGGACCCUUCAAAGUCCAACUUGUGAGGCUCAACCUGUUCCCCCAGAAGGGCGGUCCCUGGCACUUUGUGGACAUUGGCCCCCACUGUGCUCUAAUUGUUUGCGGAUGAUCUUGUCUCACUGUAUAAAGUAAAGCACUGGGCGGCCUCUGGUGUGUCAGAGCAGGUGUGACACUGAUGCACAGUCGGGCAGGUUCUCUCCAGAGGUCCCUGAGGAUGCCUGACAGCCCAGGUCUACCUUCACCACA